rnacentral:rRNA from 1 species
GGAGAUAGCUGGUUCUCCUCGAAAUAGCUUUAGGGCUAGCCUCGUAUUAGUCUAGUGGAGGUAGAGCACUGAAUUUCCUAGGGGGCGUCAAAGCCUACCGAAGAAUAUCAAACUCCGAAUGCCAUAUAGAUGAUGUACGGGAGUCAGACUGCACGAGAUAAGUUGGGUGGUCAAAAGGGAAAGAGCCCAGACCUCCGGCUAAGGUCCCAAAGUGCGUGUUAAGUGGAAAAGGAUGUGGGAUUUCGAAGACAACCAGGAUGUUGGCUCAGAAGCAGCCAUACAUUCAAAGAGUGCGUAAUAGCUCACUGGUCGAGAGGUCCUGCGCCGAAAAUGUCCGGGGCUGAAACACGACACCGAAGCUGAGGAAUCCUAAGGGAUUGGUAGAGGAGCAUUGCAUACGCGAUGAAGCAGUACCGUAAGGAGCUGUGGAGUGUAUGGAAGAGAGAAUGCCGGAAUGAGUAGCGAGAGGAAGGUGGGAAUCCUUCCGGCCGAAUAUCCAAGGUUUCCAGAGUAAAGCUGAUCUGCUCUGGGUAAGUCGGGGCCUAAGGCCAGGUCGAAAGACGUAGCCGAUGGACAACAGGUUGAGAUUCCUGUACUGCGAUAUGACAGAACUGUGGGGACGCAUGUGGAAAGCAUAAGCACGGAAUGGAAAGCCGUGUACAAGCGAGGUAGGAGUCAUGUAGGAAAAWCCGCGUGGCAAUCCGAAGACGUGAUGUGGACCGAACUUUCAGUAGGGAAGUAUGUGAGCCAUGUGCCGGGAAAAGCCGCUAUUGUUCAUACCGCACCCGUACCGUAAACCGACACAGGUGGAUGAGGAGAGAAUCCUAAGGCCGACGGAAGAAGCAUUGUUAAGGAACUCGGCAAAAUAGCCCCGUAACUUCGGGAGAAGGGGUGCCUGGAAACAGGCCGCAGAGAAUUGGCCCAAGCAACUGUUUAGCAAAAACACAGGUCUAUGCGAAACCGAAAGGUGAGGUAUAUGGGCUGACGCCUGCCCGGUGCUGGAAGGUUAAGAGGAGAGCUUAGCGCAAGCGAAGGUUUGAAUUUAAGCCCCAGUAAACGGCGGCCGUAACUAUAACGGUCCUAAGGUAGCGAAAUUCCUUGUCGGGUAAGUUCCGACCCGCACGAAAGGCGUAAUGAUUUGGGCGCUGUCUCGACAAUGCAUCCGGUGAAAUUGAAGUACCAGUGAAGAUGCUGGUUACCUGCGCCAGGACGGAAAGACCCCAUGGAGCUUUACUCCAGCUUGACACUGGGAUUCGGUAAUGCAUGUACAGGAUAGGUGGGAGGCAAUGAAAUAGGGACGCCAGUUUCUAUGGAGCCGCUGUUGGGAUACCACCCUUGCGUUAUUGGGUUUCUAACCUGCCGCCGU